CCUACGGGAGGCAGCAGUGGGGAAUAUUGGACAAUGGGGGGAACCCUGAUCCAGCGACGCCGCGUGAGUGAAGAAGUAUUUCGGUAUGUAAAGCUCUAUCAGCAGGGAAGCAAGAAAUGACGGUACCUGCCUAAGAAGCCUCGGCUAACUACGGGCUAGCAGCCGCGGUAAGACGUAGGGGGCAAGCGUUAUUCGGAUUUACUGGGUGUAAAGGGAGCGUAGACGGCGAUGCAAGUCUGAAGUGAAAGGCGGGGGCCCAACCCCCGGACUGCUUUGGAAACUGUAUGGCUGGAGUGCAGGGAAGGUAAGUGGAAUUCGUGGUGUAGCGGUGAAAUGCGUAGAUAUCAGGAGGAACACCAGUGGCGAAGGCGGCUUACUGGACUGUAACUGACGUUGAGGCUCGAAGGCGUGGGGAGCAAACAGGAUUAGAUACCCCAGUAGUC
rnacentral:rRNA from 1 species